UUUCCUCACAUAUUUUCACUUCCGGAGUACCAGCGCAGCUUGUUAUGCUCUAUCUUGCCAUGUGCAAAAAUGGCUGGAAGGAGAACAAUAUCCUCCCAUCAUUAUAUAAUCUGACCUUCAGGAAUGGGGUUCAACGGGAUGAGGAAAGAAGGCUUCGGCCUUCUCACUUCUUCUUGGGUUCGUUUAUUCGCAUCUAAGUGUCAGUUCGCGUGAUGGAUACAUUU
rnacentral:snoRNA from 1 species